GCGUGUGUGGCUCAAAGGAGUAGGGCGCUGGCCCCAUAUGCCAGAGGUGGUGGGUUCAAAUCCAGCCCCUGGCC
rnacentral:tRNA from 1 species